AGCAGCCGCGGUAAUUCCAGCUCCAAUAGCGUAUAUUAAAGUUGUUGCAGUUAAAAAGCUCGUAGUUGAAUUUCGGGAUCAAUUGAUUGGUCAUGCCUUGGUAUGAACUGGUCAUAUUGGUUCUCACCUUCUAAUGAACCAUAAUGUCAUUCACUUGAUGUUAUGGGGAAUUAGGACUGUUACCUUGAAAAAAUUAGAGUGUUUAAAGCAGGCUUACGCUUGAAUACAUUAGCAUGGAAUAAUGAAAUAGGACAUCGCAUUCUAUUUUGUUGGUUUCUAGGAUCGAUGUAAUGAUUAAUAGGGAUAGUUGGGGGCAUUAGUAUUCAAUUGUCAGAGGUGAAAUUCUUGGAUUUAUUGAAGACUAACUACUGCGAAAGCAUUUGCCAAGGAUGUUUUCAUUAAUCAAGAACGAAAGUUAGGGGAUCGAAGACGAUCAGAUACCGUCGUAGUCUUAACCAUAAACUAUGCCGACUAGGGAUCGGAUGAUGUUAAUUUUUAAAUGUA
rnacentral:sRNA from 1 species